rnacentral:rRNA from 1 species
AUUGAACGCUGGCGGAAUGCUUUACACAUGCAAGUCGAACGGCAGCACGGGGGCAACCCUGGUGGCGAGUGGCGAACGGGUGAGUAAUACAUCGGAACGUGCCCAGUCGUGGGGGAUAACGUAGCGAAAGUUACGCUAAUACCGCAUACGAUCUACGGAUGAAAGCGGGGGACCGUAAGGCCUCGCGCGGUUGGAGCGGCCGAUGUCAGCGUAGGUAGUUGGUGAGGUAAAGGCUCACCAAGCCGACGAUCUGUAGCUGGUCUGAGAGGACGACCAGCCACACUGGGACUGAGACACGGCCCAGACUCCUACGGGAGGCAGCAGUGGGGAAUUUUGGACAAUGGGCGCAAGCCUGAUCCAGCCAUUCCGCGUGCAGGACGAAGGCCUUCGGGUUGUAAACUGCUUUUGUACGGAACGAAAAGGCUCUGGUUAAUACCUGGGGCUCAUGACGGUACCGUAAGAAUAAGCACCGGCUAACUACGUGCCAGCAGCCGCCGUAA